rnacentral:snRNA from 1 species
AAGGAAGUGAACUUCCCU